UAGCUAGACACAGAGGAAAAGAAAAAGGAAAGACAGAAAGCACCUCCUCCCUAUUUAUUUCUUAGUACCUGUCUUGUUCUUUACUUCUACUUCUUCUCAUUCAUCUAUUCUUUCCUUCUUCUUCUUCUGUGCUUUUACAGACUCAGGUGAGAGAUGGGAUGUGGAAAUUCCUCACAAGCCACCGCCAACAGCAGCAACAGCAGCACUGGAGGUCGUGUUGAGUCUUCAUCAAAGGUAUCAGAAGAGUCUGUGCCAGGAGAUGACAAAUGGCAGAACUAUGGAGGUGUGUAUGUGGGUUUUCCUGCUGACCUGAGCAACAUUCCUCAAGUACAGAUAGGAUCACUCAGAGAGCAUGAGAGAGACUUGUUGUCCCUCAGGAGGCCGCUGUGGGGGGACGGACUCUGAUUUUAAUGAAGAGCCCAGAGGUGCAACAGACGAAUGAUACAGAAGAAAGAAAGAAGAAGAAAGUGUUUGUCAUCAGGAACUUACCAAGUCUCGAACGGGAAACAGCAGCACCCAGCGAGCCAAUCUUCUCUCCCGGCGUCCUCUGUGAGGACUUUAAUGGGAUCAGCUCCACCUGGAUAAACUGGCUGUGGAGCCCGUUGUGUCAAACAAACUGGCUAAAGACGUUUGUGAUUUUAUGGGAGCAGAUGUCAACCUGAACUCUUAAAAAACAGUGACGGUUUGCAUUUAGAUCAUUGCAUGAAGAGGAUGCAGGUUUUUUUAUUGGAAGCUGUGGUAGCGCUCCUUGUUGAGAGUAAGUACAGUAGUACUAAUUUAAGCUCUGAAUAUCUUGUACGAUUACACGUAACAUAUAUUGAUGGACAGGUCCUGUGAUAUUCA